rnacentral:rRNA from 1 species
UUGACCUCGGAUCAGGUAGGAAGACCCGCUGAACUUAAGCAUAUCAAUAAGCGGAGGAAAAGAAACCAACAGGGAUUGCCCUAGUAACGGCGAGUGAAGCGGCAACAGCUCAAAUUUGAAAUCUGGCUUCGGCCCGAGUUGUAAUUUGCAGAGGAAGCUUUAGGCGCGGCACCUUCUGAGUCCCCUGGAACGGGGCGCCAUAGAGGGUGAGAGCCCCGUAUAGUUGGAUGCCUAGCCUGUGUAAAGCUCCUUCGACGAGUCGAGUAGUUUGGGAAUGCUGCUCAAAAUGGGAGGUAAAUUUCUUCUAAAGCUAAAUACCGGCCAGAGACCGAUAGCGCACAAGUAGAGUGAUCGAAAGAUGAAAAGCACUUUGAAAAGAGGGUUAAAUAGCACGUGAAAUUGUUGAAAGGGAAGCGCUUGUGACCAGACUUGCGCCGGGCGGAUCAUCCGGUGUUCUCACCGGUGCACUCCGCCCGGCUCAGGCCAGCAUCGGUUCUCGCGGGGGGAUAAAGGUCCUGGGAACGUAGCUCCUCCGGGAGUGUUAUAGCCCGGGGCGUAAUGCCCUCGCGGGGACCGAGGUUCGCGCAUCUGC